GCCAGCAGCUGUAUUAUCUUGCAACUCACCACUGGCAACACACUGAAGCUAAGCAGGUGUGAGACUGGCCAGUAUCUGGAUGGGAGACCUCCUGGAAAAGCUAAUGUUGCUCCUGGAA
rnacentral:rRNA from 1 species